rnacentral:lncRNA from 1 species
CACCAAAGUUUGAGACAAAUGUCUCUUGUCUUUCCUUUCUUUCAUUAUAGAGUAUUUUGUAAGAGAUUGAGUGUUGGAAAACACUUGUGUAAAUCCUUUCUUUGGAGUGAUCUUGUAACGUUAUUCUCUUGGGGUAUUUGUGACUAUUUACUGUAUUUACUAUAAUUUUAUAAUCUCUUUUAUAUUCUUAUUGGUAUAGUAAAAUUUAUUUUCUUUACGUGUGGACGUAGGUCACUUUGACCAAACCAUGUUAAUUUGGGUCAAGCCUGCACGGUUUUACCAAAAGGCCUCACACAGUUGUGUGAAUAUGAACCUUUCUACAUAUAUUAUUUUGUGCAAUUAAGAUAACUUGAUAAUUAUUUCUAAACUAUAUAUCCAUUUAUAUAAUUAUUUCUAAACUAUAUAUCUAUUUAUAUCAUUAGUUGAUUUUUGUUGUUAUCAUUGCUAGUUGUUUUUCAGUACUAUUGUAUAUUGCUAUAUUGCACAUGUUAUUUUGACUGUGAGUGUCUUGAACCGCAAUUGGAUUCAUACCUCUGAGUAUGUUGUGGAAAUAAAAAUGAAAUUUGGUUACUUUUUGCUUUGCAUGGGGAAGUUUUUCGAACCGUUUUUCAACAACCUUUGGUCCUAAAUCAACGUCUUGAACCAUUGGCAUGACAUAACAAUGAAGCAAAUAAAUAGAACUAGGCUCCUUUUCUCCAUCUUUUCUUUCUCUUCGUCUCUCCCACUUAGUUAAUUGAGAUGGAAUAAUGUAUUGCAGAUACAAAUAUAUUAUGAGUAUUGUAAUAUACGUGGCCUACUUUUGGCCAUAGAGUAAGUUCCUUGUUGGCUUCUAUGUCGUCUUUUAUUGGUCACUUUGUUGGACAUUUUAUGUUCAUUCAUUAAAGGCCUUGCUGGACAAUCAUAUUCCAUAUAUGACCUUCUCAUAUUCUUUUAAAUAGGUUGGCAAAUUUCCAUAUCAAAUACACCAAAGUUUGAGACAAACGUCUCUUGUCUUCGCUUCCUUUCAUUAUAGAGUAUUUUGUAAGCGAUUGUGUUUUGGGAAACACUUGUGUAAAUUCUUUCUUUAGAGUGAUCUUGUAAGGUUAUUCUCUUGGGGUAUUUGGGGCUAAUUAGAAUAUUUACUCUAAUUUUGUAAUCUCUUUUGUACUCUUAUUGAUAAAGUAAAAUUGCUCCUCUUCGCGUGUUGACGUAGGUCACAUUGACCAAACCACGUUAAAUUGGGUCAAGCCGGCACGGUUUCACCAAAAGGCCUCACACAAUUGUGUGCAUAUGAUCUUUCCUACAUACAUUUUUUUGUGUAAUUAAGAUAACUUGAUAAUUAUUUCUAAACUAUAUAUCCAUUUAGAUGAUAAUUAUUAACAUUCAUAUUGGAUGAGUAGUUAGCAAAAUAACUACCGCAUGAUCUUAUUUGAUAUCUAUACACAAUGGAAAAAUAUAUUGUAUAAUUGCUAUCACAGAUUGUUUAAUAUCAUCUAGUUAGUUGCCCGCAUGAUUUUUACAAUAUGCCAGCUUUCAGUUCCAGAUAAUAACGACUUUUUAUUUUCAUUACAUCUACCAGUACAUAGUCAUAACAUAUUUUUAGGUGUUAGUUAAUUGUGUAUAUCUCAGUUCGUUGAAUAUAUAUGUUUAGAUUAUUUAGUAUCUUAAACAUAUACAACGGUAUCAGAAAAUCACAGUUUUCCAACUACUAAAAUAGUCGUAUAGUAGUUGCAAUGUCCAAUUUUCCGACUACAUUCUGAUCGUUUUGUAUAGUCGGAAAAUGAUAAGUCGGAAAAUAAAUUCAGACUACUGUACUCGAAAAUUUCUACAUUUUUUAACUUCAUGUCCGACAACUACAGUCGAAACUGUAGUCGGAUAAUAUUUAUAAAAAUUACUACAAUAUUAGUUAUUAUUUUACGACUAUAGAACUAUUGAGUAAGAUAGAAAAUUACAAAUGAAAAUGUAACGACACGACCGGUCCUUUUGAGAAUUUGCAUUUUCUUCAACUAUUUGAAGCCUUGAGCAGCAUCGUAUGAUGUAUUAUAACUUGUGUGAAUCGUCAAUUUUGAUUUUCAGGUGAUUCGAAAGUGAUUUGAAAGAAUGAAUUUCAUGAUUGAAACUCUAAGUUGUAAGAGUUGACCAAGUUUGACUUUUUAAAUAUUUGACCUCGAUUCGGAGUUUUGACAUCUCUAUUAAGUCCGGAUGGUGAUUUUGGACUCGAUCGUAUACCCGGAUUUGCAUUUGGAUAUUUCUAGAAGGUUUCGGUGCUAAUUGGCGAGAGUUGGAAAUUUGAAGGUUUAAAAGGUUCAUAAGUUUGACCGGGAGUUGACUUUGAUAAAAUCGGGUUCGGAUUAUGGUUUAGGUAAUUGGAAUAGCUUUGUUAUGUCAUUUUGGACUUGUGUGCAAAAUUUGAGUUCAUUCUGUGUUGAUUUGAUAUGUUUCGGUGCGAAUUUUGAAAGUUAAAAGUUCAUUAAGUUUGAUUUGAGGUGCGAUUCAUCGUUUCGAUGUUGUUAUGCAUGAUUUGAGGCCUCAAAUAGAUCUGUUUUAGGUUAUGGGACUUGUUGGUAUAUUCGGGCGGGGUCCCGAGGAGUUCGGGCAAGUGUCGGAUUGAUUUCGGACCAUUUUUUAUCACGACCCAAUUUCACUUAUAGGUCGUGAUGGCGCCCAACGUCACUGCUAGGCAAGCCAACUAAUGAAUUAAACAUAUAAUUCCUUUUUUAAUAAGUUUUCGAGUAAUUAAAAUUUCCUUAUUUGCAAGAUAUAAGAAAAUAAAAGGUUUAAAUAAAUAAAACCAAGUAAUAGUUCAAAACCAUAAAUCUACUAGCGUGUGUGCCAAGACAUGGUAUCACAAGUGUAUGAGCAUCUAGUAGAUUAUACAAAACUCAACUACUGUCUGAACAUGAAAUAAACAUAAUACAAAUACAAAGGAGAGGCUCUAGGAGCUGCAGAAUGGCUCAUAAAGCAGCUCACCACUAAGCCUCAGGAUAUCUGGGAUACGCGCCGGUUGGACCGCCUAAUGCACAUGUCUCAGAUCCUGCACCAAAAAGUGUAGUAUGAGUACGUAAACAACGUUUACCCAGUAAGUAUCAAUCUAAUCUCGAAUAAGUAGUGACGAGAAGUCGACUUCGACACUGUCAAUAAUAUUAAGAUAGGAAUAUUUAAAUAAAUACGGUUUAUGGGAAUAACAACAAAUUUCCUUAACAAGCAAGAAUAAAUAAUUCUUUCACAAUUUAAUAAUUUCCAAUAAGUCAUUUAUCUUCACAAACUGCAAUAAUAAUGUCAAGACACCGUGUAAUUAUUCUUAUUAAGCACGAUUUAUGCCGAGGUCCUAUGGCCUGAUCCGGAAUAAUGUGUACACCGUCGAGGAUCGAGCGGCACGAACCAUAGAUGCAUUUAUCUACCCGAUGCGUUCGGCCCGCUUCACAAGAAGAGAAGGAUAUUUUAUACAAAAUAAUACGAAUUUCACUAGCGAUCUUUCACAAUUUUCCCUACAAAUACCAAUAUAAUUUAGGCAUUUUAAAACUAUCAAGCAUGGUGCAAAAUUUCCAAAUAGUUCAUGAAUUGGGUCCUAAAUUACCCGGACAAUAGCAUAAUAGUAGCUACGCACGGACUCUCGUCACCUCAUACGUACGUAGCCCCUCACAAUUAGGAACAAUUAUUUAUUUAAAAUACCUAUGGAGUAAAUUCCCUCUUACAAGGUUAGACAAGAGACUUACCUCGUCUCAAAGCUCACACCGGUCACAAUUUUGCGUUAAAGCCUCAAUUGAUGCCGAAAAUUCGAAACUAGCCAAAUGUUAUAUAAUUUAAUCAAUAAAUACUCAAAAUUUCAUAAUUUAUCUAUUAUAUUAAUUACCCAACCCAAAUUGAUAAAUUUCCUAAAUUUCACCUCGGGCCCGCGUGCCCGGAUUCUGGAAAGGUUCGGAGGGAAUCGUCACCCAUAACCUUAAAAACUCAAAUUUAUAAUUUUUAUCACAAUCCAUAACCAUUUUCGUGGUUAAAAUCUUAUUUUUAUCAAAACCUAGGUUUUUCAUCUAAAACCAUAUUUUUUUACUAAUUUACAUGUUAAACUCUACCCAUAAUCUAAGUAUUUAACUCACAAUAGGUAGAAUUAACUUACCUCCAAGUUGCUAGGUAAAUAGUGUCACGCCCAAAUUCGGGGAGCGCGACCGGCGCUCAACCGAGAGAAACCGGCCGAGCAAGACUAUUAGAUUUCCUUCUACCCAAACUCAUCCAUGAAUAAGGAGGAGAAGUACUCCAUUAAUCAAACACUAAAAAGAUUUUUUAACAACUUCCUUUUCAUUCUCAUUAGCAGCUUCAUUCAUAAUUUUCAAAAUAUUACGAGUUUAUAGAAUUAAUGAAAAGAAAAAAACAUGAUUUCCAAAUAUCAACAUUUCUAGUUCAAUUCCCAACAUCAACCACAACCCACAACCUGUCUACGGAGCCUCUAAGUAUAAUAGAAGAGUAAUAUGGAAAUGUCGGCAACAAGGCCCCGGCUAUACCUCAACCACAAAGUACAUGAGAAAUAAAAGAUACAUGACCCCGAAAUGAAGUGGGGCUCACCAAAUCAGCUGAAAAGAGUAUACUGCUAUCACUGAUCAAUGUCACCUGUUGUAGAACCACCUACAUCCAUUAAAGAUACAGCGCCCCCGGCAAAAGGGACGUUAGUACUGUCGAAUAGCGCUAGUAUGUAUAGCUAAAAAUUCUCUUUCAAAAUAGAAUGCCCAUAUGAUCUAUACGUGGAAUACAUAAUAUAAUGUAAUUGUAACAACAUGUACAAACAAGGCCAAUGAAAGUAGCACCUUCCUCCCUUAUUUUACACAUAUACAUUUCAUAUACCAUCCUUAGUGUUCACAUAUAAUAUUAUACACCUAUGCGUCUCAUAGACCGUUCACAAUAUUACCUAUAUAAUACACAUGUGUGUUUAAUAAGCCGUUCAUAGUGUUUACUUACAGAAUACAAAUACACCUAUUCAAGGCUUGAAAAUACAACAUGAAUAUGAUAAAUCAUGGUAACAAUAAAAGGGCUUAGAUAACCGUCAACGUCGAGCCAAUUUACUAAGAGCUUUCAUUAAUCAUUUAUAAAUAAUAAUUCGGGGAUCCUCUAUAACCAUCUUCACACAAAGCGGCCCUCCACCUCACCCCAAUAAAUGCGGGUGGAGGAGUAUCACGGUACCACAAUCCCAACACAAGCGGCCAUACCGCCUCACUCCAAUAUAUACGGGUGAAAGUGUAUCACAAUACCACAAUCCCGACAUAAGUGGCCCUACCGCCUCAUCCCAAUAUAUGCGGGUGGAAGUGUAUCAUAAUACCACAAUCCCAACACAAAGCGGCCCUACCACCUCACCCCAAUGUAUGCGGUUGAAGGUGUAAUCCCAAUCACAAUAUCAUAUAUAAACUCAAAGCACAUUGUUUGUCAUUACAAUUAAGGUCGUAAUUACUCAUAUCAUUAGAAUACUUCAUAUUCAUGCUCAUCAUGGAGAAACACAACUCUUUACAUUAGUACAUGCAUGGUAAAUCAAUAANNNNNNNNNNUUUACAUACAUUAUUUCAGAAGUGUACAACUAUAGUUGAAACCAUUGGGACAUACAACACUUCAUAAUUCUCACUUAGGUAACGACCAUAUUUCAUGUUCAUAUUAUCAUUUACUUGUACUUGCCAUGGGAGAUCAUACAACAUUAUGAACAUUUAGAACAUUUAGGAACAUCAUAGUCUUUACUCGCAAGUACGUAGGGGCUUAGAACACAUUGGAAACAAAAGUACAAAUACAUUCAUCUCAUAACCUUUCACACCAUAUAUCACUUCAUUAGUACUUUCAACUACGUACAACAUCAUUAUUUCAUUGGCUCCCUUGGCUAUACAUAUUAUUCUUCAUUCAUGGCACUAUGGCCGCAUAUCAUAUUCCGCACUUUCAUUCUUUACUUUCAAGGAUUAUCAUCAUAAAUAUCAUCAUAUAUAAUACUCUUGCAAUACCUUUCCCCAAAAAGGCCAAUACACAAUUUCAACUCAUGAAUAUGUAAAAACUCAAAACAUAUUGGAAAUACCCACCAAGUAUAGAAUUAGUUAGAACAACCACAUUAGGACAUGACGUGAGUACAUAAGCUUUUGGAUAAUUCUAUUUUUGGAGUCAAUUUGGAAUAGUUGAAUCAAGGCUCAUUUCAUAACAUUUCACACAUCAUUUCACUUCGUUGGCGCUAUUGGCUACAAGUAUAACUUUCAUUCUUGGCACGGUAUUCACACUUUAUAUCCCCAACUCACUACUUUCACUUUCAAGCAUCUAUAUAGAUUACCGACAACAAGGAAUCUCUAAUCACAACUUUUAGUACACCUAUGAUCAAUUAAGAGUCUUAUGCACAUUGAGACUUCUUACACAAUUUGGCAUAAUAGCCUUCACUUGAAACACUACUUGGAGUCAUAACAUUUUUAUACCCAACUCAUGCUUUGAACACAUUCCCGAAGGAUAAAAUCAUAUAAUAAGAGCAUUCGGAACACAUUUUGAACAUACACCUUUCAACACAAAGCUUAUUCGGAAUAAUUGAUUUAUAAAGAAUAACUCGGGACUUAUAAGAACAUCAUGCAAUUCAAUUCUAGGAAAGAAGUUUAGCCAACAUACCUUGCUUUGAGCUUUCCUUAAAUUACUACAACGUUCCGAAAAUUCUAGCAAUCCCAAUCUAUUUGAGACAUAACAAAACUGAACACAAAUUAGGGAGAUAUUCUUGGUUUCAGCUCCUUUGAGCAUUUUAUCAAACACUAGGUGUGCAAAUUUAGCUACAAGGUUCUUCUACAAGAUUUCUUUCAUUCCACAACCCAAUCUUUACUUAUUUUAGCUCAACAAUCUUCCUACAAACCUUAUUGGUACAAGCAUGUAUAAUUAAUACUCUUACACCCAAAAAUCAUACUCCAAAUCACCCAUCUUUUACCCCAAACUCGAAAUUAAAGACUAGGGGUUUGAAUCUUACCCGGCCUUGGGGGUAUUAAAUGAGAUCCUACAUGCGCAGCCGUGCACCUGGGCAAGUGGCCGCGUAUCUGGCCGCACACCUGAGGCAGAAACUCUCAAAUAUGGGCGGUCACGCAUAUGACAUAGGUCCGGUAAAAUGGCCAUAACUUUCUAUAGAAAUAUCCAAAUGAUGAACGGUUUGAUGCGUUGGAAACUAGACUCAAAGGGAUUUAAUUUGAUAGGUACAUCACCACCUAAGUCAUUAUAUUUAGGGAGUUCUAUUCAUUUGAAGUUGGGUCUUGUGCCAAUUGAAAUAUCUUUACCACUUAAUGUGUCCAACUUGUUCCACACAAGUUCCUGCCAAUUCCAAAACUCCUUAGUAUGUUCCAACACACCACAAACAUACAUUAUCAAUUCAACAUGAUGUGGCUCUAUCCCAUAUGACUCAUUUAAUACUCAAAUACGUUAUUCCCAAAUACUGUUGACGCACUUUAUAAACUUAAAUCAUUAGGAUUUUUUUACGGGGCCUUACAAAUACCCCUCUCAAGAAGCUCCAAAAUCGCCCCAAAAAUGAAGAAAAUAGUCAAAAAUACUCAAACCCCGACUUAAAUGAAGGUUCUACCUUCUGUGAUUUUCGCACUUGUAGAGGUACGAUCGCUUUUGCGGUCCCGUAUCUGCGAAAAAAUCCUCGCAGAUGCGGUCUCCUCGAGUUGGGCUAAAUUUCGCACCUGCGGACCAUUUUUCCUGCUUAUGCGGGUCUCGCGCCGCUUCUUUGGCUAGGUUGCUUCUGCGGCUCCUCCCUCGCACCUGAGCGCUCGUAGGUUCGCCCAAUGGCUCCACUCCUGCAGCGUCUGAGUUGCCCCCGCUAGAUUGCUUCUACGACUUCUUAUUCGUAUCUGCGAGCUCGCACAUGCGGCUGUCCAUGCGCUAGUGCGAUUACACUGGAAGCUUCAGCCAUUGCCUAUAAGUCCAAACUUGGUCCGAGCCUCGUCCGAUUAACACCCGAGGCCCCCGGGACCCCGACUUAACAUACCAACACGUUUGAAAUCAUAAAACGGACUUGCUAGGACCCUUGGAAUGCGUAAACCAACAUCAAAACCAAGAAUCAUACCCCAAACCAAAUUUAUUCAACUUGGAAAUUUCAAGUUCUUCAAACUUACUCCGUACGCGUCGAAACAUACUUAAAUUACUCGGAAUGACACCAAACUUUGCAUGCAAGUCUUAAAUCACCAUAUGAAACUAUUCCCAUGCUCGGAACUCCAAACGGACCUCGAUUACUCCAAACCAAAUUUGAAGAACUUUAAACCUUCAAAUAGUCAACUUUCACUAUUAAGCGCUGAAACGCUCCCGGUCGUCCAAAACCCAAUUCGAACAUACGCCCGAGUCCAAAAUCAUUAUACAAACCUAUUGGAACCAUGUCAAAUCCUGAUUCCGGGGUCGUUUACUCAAAAUAUUGAUCGAAGUCAAACUUAUCCUUUAAAAAGCUAAACUAAGGAACCAAGUGUUCCAUUUUCAACCCGAAUCCUUUAAAUUCUUGAACUAACCAUCCCCACAAAUCAUAAAACAGUAAAAGCACAUAUGGGGAGUCUUAUUUAUGGGGACGGUGUUCUAGAAGGCAAAAUGACUGCUUAGGUCGUUACAUUCUCCACCUCUUAAACAAACGUUCGUCCUCGAACGGGUUUAGAAUCAUACCUGGAGUACUGAAUAAGUGUGCAUAUCUUCUCUAUAUGUCCUCCUCGGCCUCCCAAGUCGCUUCCUCGUCUGGUUGGCCCCGCCACUAAAUGUUUACCGCAGAAAUCCUCUUAGACCUCAAUUGGCGAACCUGCCUAUCAACAAUGGCAACUGGCUCCUUCUCAUAACCCAAGCUCUCAUCUAGUUGAACUGUGCUGAAGUCUAACACAUGCAAUAGGUCGGCAUGAUACUUUCUUAGCAUAGAUACAUGGAAAACCAGAUGAACUCCCGAUAGACUGGGAGGCAAGGCAAGCUCAUAAGCAACCUCCAUCAACUAGUCUCAACACCUCAAAUGGGCCUAUAAACCUUGGGCUCAACUUACCCUUCUUCCCGAAUAUCAUGAUUCCCCUCAUCGGUGAAAUCUUCAAGAGAACUUUCUCGCCCACCAUAAAUGAUAAAUCACGUGCUUUCUGAUCCGCGUAACUCUUCUGUCUGGACUGUGCUAUACGAAGUCGCUCCUGAAUCAAAUUUACCUUUUCCAAGGCAUCCUUCACCAAAUCAGUACCAUAUAACGUAGCCUCGCCGGGCUCGAACCAUCCGAUGGGAGAACGACAUCGCCGACCAUAUAAAGCCUCAAAUGGAGUCAUCUCGAUGUUGGAUUGGUAACUGUUGUUAUAAGCAAACUUGGCCAAAGGCAAGAAACGAUCCCACUGACCUCCGAAGUCAAUCACACAUUCCCUGAGCAUAUCCUCUAAGAUCUGAACUAUCUCCUAAAUAUAAAUCUGGGCCAACCUCUCAGAAGUAUACGUAGUCACAACCGGAAUGAAGUGUGCCGACUUGGUCAACCUGUCGACAAUGACCCAAACUGCAUCAAACUUCCGCAAGGUCCGCGGCAACCCAACUACGAAGUCCAUAGUAAUGCGCUCAUAUUUUCACUCUAGUAUAGUCAUCUGCUGAAGUAGGCCACCUGGCCUCUGGUGCUCAUACUUAACUUGCUGGCAAUUUAGGCACCUGAAUACAUACUCAACUAUGUCUUUCUUCAUCCGCCGCCACCAAUAAUGUUGCCUCAGGUUGCGAUAUAUCUUCGUAGCAUCUGGAUGAAUAGAAUACCGCGAAUUGUGUGCCUCUUCUAGGAUAUUUUCCCUCAACCCAUCCACAUUAGGAACACAUGGAAGACCUUGGAGUCCCAGAACACCAUCUUUACCAAUAGUAACCUCCUUGGCACCACCCCAUAGUACUGUCUCUCGGAGAACCAACAAGUGUGGAUCAUCAAACUAGCGAGCCUUAAUCCGCUCAAAUAGUGAAUACUUGGCAACAACACAUGUAAGAACUCGACUAGGCUCUGAAAUAUCAAGCCUUACAAGUCUGUUAGCCAAGGACUGAAUGUCCAAAGCUAAUGGCCUCUCCUCAGCUAAAAUGAAGGCCAAACUACCCAUACUUUCUGCCUUUCUGCUCAAGGCGUCUGCAACUACGUUUGCUUUGCUCGGAUGAUAAAGUAUAGUAAUAUAAUAAUCUUUUAGUAACUCAAGCCACUUGCGUUGUCUCAUAUUUAGAUCCCUUUAUUUGAACAAAUGCUGCAAGCUGCGAUGAUCAGUGUAAACCUCACAGGACACCCCAUAAAGAUAAUGCCUCCAGAUCUUAAGAGCAUGAACUAUCGCGGCCAAUUCUAAAUCAUGUACCGGGUAAUUCUUCUCGUGGUUAUUCUGUUGACGUAAAUCAUAUGCAAUAACUCGCCCCUCCUGCAUCAAUACACAACCUAGGCUAACGCGUGAAGUGUUGCAAUACACUAUAUACAUCCCUGAACCAGAAGGCAACACUAACACCGAUGCUGAAGUCAAUGCGGUCUUGAGCUUUUGAAAGCUCACCUCACAAUCAUCGGACCAUCGGAACGGAGCACCCUUCUUGGUCAAUUUGGUCAAAGGUGCUGCAAUAGAUGAAAAGCUCUCCACAAACCGAUGAUAAUAACCUGCUAACCCCAGAAAACUCCUGAUCUCAGUCGUCGAGGUGGGACGAUGCCUAUUCUAAACUGCCUCGAUCUUUCUAGGAUCAACUUUAAUACCCUCGCCCUAUACAAUAUGUCCAAAGAAUGCUACAGAGUCUAGCCAAAAUAUAUACUUGGAGAACUUAGCAUAUAACUUUUGUCCCUGCAAGGUCUGAAGCACCACUCUCAAAUGUUGCUUGUGCUGCUCCAUACUAAGUGAAUAGAUCAAAAUGUCGUCAAUGAAGACGAUGACAACCAAGUCGAUAUACGGCCUGAACACCCGGUUCAUCAGAUCCAUAAAUGUCGUCGGGGCAUUAGUCAUACCGAAUGACAUUACUAGAAACUCAUAAUGGCCAUAUCUAGUCCGGAAAGCAGUCUUCGGAACAUCCGAAUCUCGAAUCUUCAACUGAUAGUACCCCGAUCUCAAGCUGAUCUUAGAGAACACUCUGGCACCCUACAACUGGUCAAACAAAUCAUCAAUACGCAGCAACGGAUACUUAUUCUUAAUAAUAAUUUUGUUCAAUUGGCGAUAAUCAAUACAGAUCCACAUAGUCCCAUCCUUCUUCUUCAUAAAUAAUACCGGUGCGCCCCAAGGCGACACACUUAGCCUGACGAACCCCUUUGCUAGCAACUCCUCAAGUUGUUCCUUCAACUCUUUUGGAGCCAUACGGUACGGUGGGAUAGAUAUAGGAUGGGUACUUGGGACAAAAUCAAUAUAGAAAUCAAUAUCACGAUCUGGAGGCAUGCCUACAAGAUCAGAAGGAAACACAUCAGAGAACUCUCGGACUACGGGCACCGAAUCAAUCACCGGAGUCUCUAUCGUAGUAUCCCAAACAUAGGCCAAAUAGUCCAAACAACCCUUCUCGACCAUGUGUCAAGCCUUCAAAAAGGAAAUAACUUGACUAGAUGCACUAAUAGACGAACCCUUCCAUUCCAAUCUAGGCAACUCUAGCAUUGCCAAGGUAACGGUCUUGGCAUGGCUAUUUAGGAUGGCAUGAUAUGGAUAUAACCAUUCCAUUCCCAGGAUGAUCUCAAAGUUGAUCAUAUCAAGCAGCAGACGAUAUGCUCUAGUUUAGUAACCACAAAAUGUAACAAUGCAGGACCGGUAGAUCCGAUCCACAACAAUAGAAUCACCUAGAUGAGUGGACACAUAAAUAGGGGUACCCAAGGACUGACGAGAAACACCUAGGAAAUGAGUAAACAGAUAUGACACAUAUGAAUACAUAGACCCUGGAUCAAAUAAUACUGAAGCAUCUCUACCGCAGACAGAAAUAAUACAUGUGAUCACGGUAUCUGAGGCCACUACAUCUGGUCUGGCCAGAAACGCAUAGAAUCUAGCUGGAGCGCCACCUGACUGGCCUCUACCUGACUAGCCUCCACCUCUAUAAUGGCCCCUACCAACCUUCCCUCCACCUCUGGGUGGUCGGACGGUUGGUGGAACAACCGGUGCUGUAAUCAUAGGCUACUGACCCUACUGCACUACCUUUCCCUGAAGCCUGGGGCAGAAUCUCCGUACAUGACUGAAAUCCUUGCACUCGAAACAACCCAUCGGUACGAUAGACUGCUGACCUAAAGUCUGGCCCUGAUGGCCUGAAUACCCACUGAAGGAACCCUGGAUAGCUAGUGGGCGGUAAGAACUCUCUGGCAUAGCACUGAAAUAAGGUCGCACAGGAGCACCCCGAGGAGGUGGCGGUGCUAGAUAAGGGGGCAUGCUGGACUGACCCCUCAUGAACUAACCUCUACCCCCAGCUGGGGCACCACUGAACUCUCCUGAAUAUCGAAACCGCUUAUCCCUCGCCGCCUACUCUCGGCUCUGCUGACGGACACCCUCGAUCCUCCAAGAUAUCUUCACAACUAGCUCGUAAGAAGUCCCCAUCUCUACCUCUCAAGUCAUGGUGGCCUGAAUACCAGAGUGCAAUCUGGCGACAAACCUCCGCACUCUCUCUGUAUUGGUAGGUAGUAUCAUAAGUGCAUGGCGAGACAACUCAGAGAACCUCACCUCAUAGUCGGUCACUGACAUCUGACCAUGUUGGAGUUGCUCGAACUGGAAUCGCAACUCUUCCCUCUGAGAGGGUGGAAUGUAUCUGUCCAAGAAGACGUGUGUGAACUAUUCCCAAGUCAUAGAAGGAGAACCUACUAGUCUGCCAAGAAGAUGUGACUGCCACAACCUACGGGCCCUGCCUUCUAGCUGAAAGGUAGUGAAGCCUACCCCGUGGGACUCUAGUAUCCUCAUGUUGUGCAGUCUGUCCCUGCACCGAUCAAUAAAAUCCUGGGGGUCCUCAUGUCGCUCACCUCCGAAAGCAGGAGGAUGAACCCUAGUCUAUCUGUCCAAUAGCUUGUGCGGAUCACCGACCACAACUGGUAUGGGCUCCGGUGUAGCUACCGUCACUGGCUGAGCUGCACCCACGGGUAGUGCACCCUCGGUCUGAUAUACCGCAGUUGUAUGCCCAGGAGCCUGCGCGGUAGAGGUUUGUGCUCCCUCUUCCACCUGAGAUGUGGUUGGGUCUACCGAAAAUAAAAUGGCUUGAGUCAUAGUAUCCAUGAACCGCAUCAUACGAUCCAUGACCUCCUGAAAUCCCGGAGCGGUUGUGAAAUCCGCCAAAGUUGGCUCUGCCGCAGGCACCUCGCCUUGCUCCCCAAUAAUAGGAUCCUCUAUUGGAUCCAAUGGCGGCAUAGUUGGAGCAACUCUGGGACGUCCUCAUCCCCUACCAUGGGCUGGAGCCCUCCCCCGACCUCUGCCUCGACUUCUAGCAAUAGGAGGAGCAGCUCUUCCCUGGUUUGGAACCUCCGUAGAGCGCAUUCUCACCAUCUGUGAGAGAAUAAGGGAAAGAUACAUAGUAUUACGUCAACUGUACGAUAGAAUAUGAAGAAAGGUAGUUUCCUAACACCCUAUAGCCGCUCGAAAAUAAGUACAAACGUCUCCAUACCUAUCCGCAAGACUCUAUUAGGUCUGCUCAUAACUUGUGAGACCUACGUGAACCUAGUGCUCUGAUACCAUGUUGUCACGACCCAAUUUCACCUAUAGGCCAUGAUGGCGCUCAACGUCACCUCUAGGCAAGCCAACUAAUGAAUUAAACAUAUAUUUUCUCUUUUAAUAAGUUUCCGAGUAAUUAAACUUUCCUUAUUCGAAAGAUUUAAGAAAAUAAAAUGUUUAAAUAAAUAAAACCAAGUAAUAGUUCAAGACCACAAUGCUACUAGCGUGUGUGCCAAGACCUGGUGUCACAAGUGUAUGAGCAUCUAGUAGAUUAUACAAAACUCAACUACUGCCUGAACAUGAAAUAGACAGAAUACAAAUACAGAGGAGAGGCUCUAGGAGCUGCAGAACGUCUCAAAAAGUAGCUCACCACUAAGCCUCAGGAUAUCUGGGAUGUGCGCUGGUAGGACCGCCUGAUGCACCUGUCUCAGAUCCUGCACCAAAAGGUGUAGCAAGUGAAGCAUGCGUACGUAAACAACGUGUACCCAAUAAGUAUCAAGUCUAAUCUCGAAGAAGUAGUGACGAGAGGUCGACUUCGACACUUACUAUGGGUCAAUAAUAUUAAGAUAAGAAUAUUUAAAUAAACACGAUUUAUGUGAAUAAUAACAAAUUUCCUUAACAAGCAAGAAUAAAUAAUUCCUUCCCAAUUUAAUAAUUUCCAAUAAGUCAUUUAUCUUCACAAGCUGCAAUAAUAAUGUCAAGACACCAUGUAAUUGUUAUUAUUAAGCAUGAUUUAUGUCGAGGUUGUACGACCCGAUCCGUAAUAAUGUGUACACUGCCGAGGGUCGAGCGGCAUGAACCAUAGAUAAAUCUAUCUACUGUCGAGGCAUUCGGCCCGCUCCACAAGAAGAGAAGGAUAUUUUAUAAGCAUUUGACUUAAACAUUUUUUAGGUUUUAUACAAAAAUAAUACGAAUUUCACUAGCGAACUUUUACAAUUUCUCCAACAAAUACCAAUAUAAUUUAGGCAUUUUUAAACUAUCAAGUAUGGUGCAAACAUUCCAAAUAGUUCAUGAAUUGGGUCCUACACUACCCGAAAAAUAGCAUAAUUGUAGCUACGUACAAACUCUCACCACCUCAUACGUACGUAACCCCCCACAAUUAGGAAUAAUUAUUUAUUUAAAACACCUAUGGGAUAAAUUCUCUCUUACAAGAUUAGACAAGAGACUUACCUCAUCUCAAAGAUCACUUCCCGGUCACAAUUUUGCGUUAAAGCCUCAAUUGGUGCCGAAAAAUCCGAAACUAGCCAAAUGUUAUAUAAUUUAAUCAAUAAAUACUUAAAAUUACAUAAUUUAUCUAUUAGAGUAAUUACCCAACCCAAAUUGGUAAAAUUUCUAAACUUCACCCCUAGCCCACGUGCAUUCCGAAAAUAUUCGGAGGGAAUCGUCACUCAUAACCUUAAGAACUCAAAUAUACAAUUUUUAUCCCAUUCCAUAACCAUUUUCGUGGUUAAAAUCUCAUUUUUAUAAAAACCUAGGUUUUUCAUCUAAACCCACAAUUAUCAUUAAUUUACAUGUUAAAAUCUACCCAUAAUCUAAGUAUUUAACUCACAAUAGGUAGAAUUAACUUUACUCCAAGUUGCUAGGUGAAUACCCUUCUCAAGAAGCUCCAAAAUCGGCCCAAAAAUGAAGCAAAUGAGUCAAAAAUACUCAAACCCCGACUUAAAUGAAGGUUCUGCCUUAUGUGAUUUUCGCACCUGCGGAGGUACGGCCGCUUCUAUGGUCCCGCAUCUACAAAAAAAUCCUCGCAGAUGCAGUCUCCUCCAGUUGGGCCAAAUUCCGCACCUACGGACCAUUUGCCCGCUUCUGCGGCUAGGUCGUUUUUGCGGCUCCUCCCUCGCACCUGCGCGCUCGCAGGUGUGCCCAAUGGCUCCGCUCCUGCGGCUUCUGAGCUGCCCCCACUGGACCGCUUCUACGGCUUCUUGCUCACAUCUGCGAGCUCGCACUUGCGGUUGUCCAUGCGCAGGUGCGGUUACACCAGAAGCUGGAAAGCUUCAGCCAUUGCUCCUAAGUCCAAAACUUGGUCCGAGCCUUGUCUGAUUAACACCCGAGGCCCCCAGGGCCCCGCCCGAAUAUACCAAUAAAUUUGAAAUCAUAAAAUGGACUUGCUCGAACCCUCAAAAUGCGUAAAAAACAUCAAAACUAAGAAUCAUACCCCAAACCAAAUUGAUUCAACUUGGAAAUUUCAAGUUUUUCAAACUUACUCCGAAUGCGCCGAAAGAUACUUAAACUACUCGGAAUGGCACCAAAUUUUGCGUGUAAGUCUUAAAUCACCAUACUGAACUAUUCUCAGGCACGGAACUCCAAACGGACCAUGAUUACUCCAAAACCUACUCCAAACCAAACUUGAAGAACUUUAAACCUUCAAAUAGCCAACUUUCACUCUUAAGCGCUAAAACGCUCCUGGGUCGUCCAAAACCCAAUUCGAAUAUACGCCGAGUACAAAAUCAUCAUAUGAACCUAUUGGAACCGUCAAAUCCCAAUUCUGGGGUCGUUUACUCAAAAUGUUGAUCGGAGUCAAACGUAUCCUUUAUAAAGCCAAACUAAGGAACUAAGUGUUCCGUUUUCAACCCGAACCCUUCAAAUUCCGGAACUAACCAUCACCUCAAGUCAUAAAAUAGUAAAAUCACAUACGAGGAGUCUUAUUUAGGGGGGCGGGGUUCUAGAAGGCAAAACGACCGGUUGGGUCGUUACAUGUUUCUUCAUGUUUUCAUUGUUGGUUGCUGUUGGUUUCUGCUGCCUCGACUAUCCUUCGCGAUCAAGAAGAUUAGUAUUCUAUCGUGUAGAUGAAAUCUGGAGCUGGGCAUUAUCUUCAUCACGGUCGCGAUUGGAUGGCCGUAUUUGCGUAGAGUUGGGAUGGUCUUCAUCUCGUUCGUGUAGUGUUUGGGACUGAGCUGGGCAGAAUACAGGUUAUCUCUUUGCGUUUGCGAGGUUGUUUCCGCGAACGCAUAGUUCUGUCAGUCUUGUGUAUCGCUUUCGCGAGUCUGUUGCUACGAUCGCAUAGUGUAAUUAUUCAGGAGCAGUGCCUUUUCUUAUUCGCGAUCGCGAUGGUAUUUCCACGAUCGCAAUUCAUUGAUUUGCCUAGUGAUUAUAAGCACUCUAAUUUUGGGGGUUUCAGCCAUAUUUACAUAUUUGGAGCUCUGGAGCUCGGAUUGAGACGAUAUUUGAAGCGAUUUUCAUCAUAUGGAGUGGAGUAAGUGUUCUCUACUCAGUUUGGAUUUUAUUUCAUGAAUCUAUUCUCAUUUUUGGCAUUUGGUUGAUGAAUUCAAAAGAGAAAUUUGGGGGGUUUUGUCUAACAUUUCAUAUAGUAAAUUUUUUAGUUUUGAACGUCAAUUCGGAGUUGGAUUUGAGUGAAACUAGUAUGAUUGGAUUCAUAUUUGAAUGGGUUGUCGGAUUUUAUGAGUUUUAUAGGGUUCCAAGGUGCGGGCCCGGGUUUGAAAUUUUUGUUGACUUUGAAGUUUUUGAUUAAAGAUUCAACCUUUAUCAAUUGGGUUGUUUCCUUAUGCAUUAUUUGAUGUAUUUGAGUUGCUUUUGGCUAGUUUCGAGCCUCUCGGAGGUCAGUACGCGCGGGAUGUCAUUUUUGGAGCAUCGUUUGGCUUGCUCGAUAUUGGAUUUGGCUUAUUCAAGUUAAGUAACACUUAUAAACUUGGUGUUGAGGGUAUGAACCCCUGAAUGUAUGUGUUAUGUGUUGGUGUUGAGAUGACAAGCAUGCUAGGUGACAGGCGUGUGGGUGUGCACCAUGUGAAUCAUGACUAGAUUUAUUAUGUGGUACUCUGUAGUGACCUAAUCUUGUUUCUAAUCAUAAAAUUUCUAUGUGCUAGAGUAAUUGAACUGUGAUCCAUAUUAGAAACCAUGUCUAGGCUAUAUGCUUAUCUUGUUUAGACCCACUAAGGUCAUUUCUGUUAUUGAGUCAUUUUCUUACAUUGCAAUUACAUACUCAAUCAUACUGAUUCAUUUGCAUAUCAUAUCUCAGUCUCUGUUUUCAUUUAUUGAUACAUCAUAUCAUCAUUUUUGGGAUGAUUUUCAUGACAUUGUGAGACCGAGAGACUGGAGAGAUUGAUGACUGAGUUGAGGCCUGAGAACCAGAUUGUGAGUGAUAUUGAUGGGAUCGGGCUACAUGCCGCAACAUGUAUUAUUGAUUCAUGAUGGGAUUGGGCUACACGCCGCAACAUGUAUUAUUGAUUCAUGAUGGGAUAAAGUUACACGCCGCAGCAGGUAUUUUUGAUUCAUGAUGGGAUCAGACUGCACGCUGCAGCAAGCUUUAUUGAUUCAUGCCAUGAUUGGCUUAUUAUAGCGCUUGGGCUGGAUCUUCCCCUCCAGAGUCUGCACACCCACAGUGAGCGCAGUUGCUAUUGAUUCAUUUGGGUUGGAUCUGCCCUGGGUUGGAUCUGCCAUGUUCAGUGCUGAGUGACUGAGUGAUUGAGCGUUAUGAAUGGGAGUGUGAAACUGUGAUAUUGAGUACUCUGAGAGUAUGAGUACAUGAGUUUAUCACUGUGACAUAUUGCAUCUGACAUGUAUACUUGACAAGCAGGCAUAGAGAUGCAUCUCUCCAUGUUUCACGGUUUUGUGACAUUUAUGACUUCACAUGCAAAUUGAUAUGUAGGCAUAGAGAUAUACUUUUCUCAUGCUAUCUGAAAUUAAAUCAUGUUAUUUGUUGUUGAAAGUUUUUGGGAAAAUCAAAGGUUUCUGACUUACUUAUAUUUUUAUGAUUUUGGUGAAGGAUUUGGGUGUUACUGUUAUAUCUGAAAAGUAUGACUAUUUUCCGUAACUGUAAAUGAGCUGAGCAUUAUAUCUCUGAGUUAUUUCUUUUAUCACUCUUAUUAUAUUGUUAUGAACUGUUGUUGGCUAUUGAUGUUGGACUCCGACCUUUGUCCCAGCUCGUCACUACUUUNNNNNNNNNNNNNNNNNNNNNNNNNNNNNNNNNNNNNNNNNNNNNNNNNNNNNNNNNNNNNNNNNNNNNNNNNNNNNNNNNNNNNNNNNNNNNNNNNNACUUAUGUACCUUGCGUACAGAUUUUCGAUGCUAAUGUUGUUGUGUAUAGCGCGAGCAGGCAUUUAAGACGUACAUAUGUUCCGGUCAUUGCUGCCUUUUGUUCUUGGUAGCUUUAGAAUUAUUAAGUUGUUCAUGUAUAUUUCAAACAGGUGAUGUAUUUAUUUCAUACCAGCUUUGUAAACUCUAAAUCUUAAAACUCAUGAUUUGUACUAUCAGUCUUUGGGAAUUCUUUGUAUAGAAGUGCAGUUAUAUUAUCAUUACAUUUCUCAGUAAAUCUCAAUGAAUUGGAUUAUUAUUGCUAAUUGUCUUACCUAGCAGGUUGGAUUAGGUAUCAUCACGACUAGUUGGAUUUUGCGUCUUGACAGAAAAUCAACAUGUAAAACUUUAAAUUAUUGUGAGUAAUGUACGACUAUAUGUGAGUAAUGUAAGACUAUAACAUUAUACUCAACAAUAGCAUCCCCAUUGGUUAUGUUGAACCAAACAGUCUUUGCAGGGUCAAUUCGCUAAGCCAACCGAAAAACUCCAGAAUUACUGACGAUCGGCAUUUCACGAUACUCAUUAAACACAUGAUUCCGGCCAAGUACACUCAAUAUGCUACCAUUGAGCUUACCACUGGUGAACACAAAGUUGAGGUUCAUGAGAAGGGCACCUUCUUUUUUAUCAACUGAACCAUAUAUUCCUUGGGCUCGGCCUACUAUUGUUGAAUUGGGCUCUGGCCCAACUGUUAAUGGGUCAUCCAUCAUUGCAACAAACCGAAACAAAGUUAGGGAUUUUGCAGUUGUAUUGGACUGGGCUAUUUGAACUGCAGUUGGAUUCUUACCUCUGAGUAUGUCGUGGAAAUAAAAAUGAAAUUUGGUUACCUUUUGCUCUGCAUGGGGAAGUUUUGUGAACCAUUUUUCAACAGCUUUGGGUCCUAAGUCAACGUCUUGAACCAUUGGCAUGGCCAUAACAAUGAAGCAAAGAAAUAGAACUAUGCUCCUUUUUUCCAUUUCUUCUUUCUCUUCGUCUCUCCCACUUAGUAAAUUGAGAAGGAAAAAUGCAUUGCAUAUACAAAUAUAUUAUGAGUAUUGUAAUAUAUGUGGCCUACUUUUGGCCAUAGACUAUGUGCCUUGUUGGCUCUUUUGUGGUCUUUUAUUGGCCACUUUGUUGGACAUUUUAUGUCCAUUCAUUAAAGGACUUGCUGGCCAAUCAUAUUCCAUACAUGAUCAUCUAAUUUUCUUAUAAAUUGGCUGGCAAAUGUCCAUAUAAAAUACACCAAAGUUUGAGACAAACGUCUCUUGUCUUUCCUUUCUUUCAUUAUAAAGUAUUUUGUAAGAGACUGAGUGUUGGAAAACCCUUGUGUAAAUCCUUUCUUUGGAGUGAUCUUGUAACCUUAUUCUCUUGGGAUAUUUGGGACUAAUUAGUGUAUUUAUUUUAAUUUUGUAUUCUUAUUGGUAUAGUGAAAUUGUUUUUCUUCGUGUGUGGACGUAGGUCACUUUGACCGAAUCACGUUAAAAUAGGUCAAGCAUGUACGGUUUCACCAAAAGGCCUUACACAGCUGUGUGAAUAUGAACCUUUCUACAUAUAUGUUUUUGUGCAAUUAAGAUAACUUGAUAAUUAUUUCUAAACUAUAUAUCCAUUUAGAUGAUAAUUAUUCAAACAUUUAUAUUGGAUGAGUAGUUUGCAACAUAACUACCACAUGAUCUUAUUUGAUAUAUAUACACAAUGGAAAUAUAUAUUAUAGAAUUGCUAUCACAGACUGUUUAGUAUCAUCUAGUUAGUGGCCCGCAUGAUUUUUAUAAUAUGCCAGCUUUCACUUCCAAAUAAUAACGACCUUUUGUUUUCAUUACAUCAAACAAUACAUAGUCAUAACAUAUGUUUUGUUUUUAAUUAAUUGUGUAUAUCUCAGUUCGUUGAAUAUAUUUGUUUAGAUUAUUUAGUACCUUAAACAUAUCCGACGGUGCCAUAAAAUCACAGUUUUUCGACUACUAACAGAGCCAAAAAGUAAUCGCGAAGCCAAAAUUUUCAACUACAUUCUGACUGUUUUGGUAUAGUCGGAAAAUGGUACGUCGGAAAAAAAUUUCAUACUACUGUACACAUAAAUUUCUACCAUUUUUUUACUUCGUGUCCGACCACAGUAGUUGAAAACAUUAAUUCGCGGAAUUUUCUGCCAAAUUUUACGACAACUAUAGUCGAAUCGAAACUGUAGUCGGAUAAUAUUUAUAAAAUUACAAAAAUAUUAGUUUUUAUUUUACGACUACUGUUGUCACGAUCCAAAACCUGUAAUAUGUCGCAAUGUUGCCUAAUGCCUCUGUUAAGCAAGCCCAUAAGUGAACCUCCAAUUUAGUUAUCCCUUUUUAACUUUUAAAAUAGAAGUUUUUUUUUUUUUAAAAGACCGAAAUAAGUAUGAUCUCAUGCAACGUAUAUACUCUUUUCUCAAAAAUAUCAAAUGGGAGAAAAUACAUAAGCCAUAGUGAUAGUAAUAAUUAGUACAACAGUACAUAUAUGCUAAAAAACCCCAAAACCCGGUGCCAUAAGUGCAAGAGCAAUCUAGAGAAUAUACACAACUAAUACAACCAUUGUCUGAAUGAUAAUACACUAAAUUAAUAAACAAGGUAGGGGGAGACUCCGGUGCUGCAGAUCGAAGCAAGGCAGGCAGCUCACCACUGAGUCUUCGUAGAAGUGCGGUUGCGCGCCAGCGUGACCACUGGUAGUACAUGUCUCUGUAACGACCUGACCGGUCGUUUUGCUUUCUAGAUUUAUGUUACCUUAAUUAAGACUCACUAUAUGUACUUUUACUAUUCUAUGACCUGCGGGGAUAGUUGGUUUAGGUUUGGAAGGGUUCGGGUUGAAAUCGGAACACUUAGUUUCUUAAUAGUAGCCUAUAAUAGUUAAGUCUGACUUGAUUCAACAUUUUAUGUAAAUGACCUUGGAACCAGGAUUUGACUGUCCCAAUAGGUUCGUAUGAUAAUUUUGGACUUGAGUGUAUAUUCGGAUCAGGUUUCGGAUGACCCGGGAGCGUUUGGACGCUUAAUAUUGAAAGUUGGCGCAUUGAAGGUUUUUCAAGUUCUUUAAGUUUGGUUUGGUGUAUACUUUGGUGUUAUGAAGAUCUAUUUGGGACUUCGAGCCUGGGAAUAGUUCUUUAUGGUAAUUUAUGACUUGCACGCAAAAUUUGGCAUCAUUCCGAGUUGAUUUGAUAGGAAUCGGACACGCGGAAGUAUUUUUAGAAGUUUUUGAGUUUCAUGUCGAAUUCAUGUGUUUUGGUAUCCGAUUCGUAUUUCUAGAUGAUAUUUUGGUGUUUUAAUUGCAUGAGCGGGUCCGUAUUAUGUUGUUGGAUGUGUGAGUAUAAUUGGACGGGGUCCCGUGGGCACCAGAUGCAAAUAGAUUGGAAUCGGACUCAGAAUUAGGCAUGGGGGAACUGCUGGUGCUUCAGUUCUGGUGCAUUCGUAGGUGCGACCUCACAGAAGCAGCUCAUCGAUCACAGAAAUGGCCUGGAGCAGGCUGGCCAGUGGUCGCAGAAGUGGAGGGUUUACUGCACCUACGAGCUAGCAGGUGCGAGGAAGGUGCUCGUAGGUGCGGGCUAGGCCAAGGAGGCUUGGGGUCGCAGGAGAGGGCAUUUCUCCACAGGCGCAAGUGUGAAGAUGCGGACCGGCUUCGCAGAAGCGGAUGCGCAGGUGUGCAUGCUUCUCCGGAAAAGCGUACUUGGACAACCUUGGUGAGGACCGCACCUGCGAUGGAUUUUCCGUAGGUGCGGCAUCGCAGGUGCGACCCAAGGUCCGCACAAGCGAAAAUCGCUGGGCAGUGAGGCCUUUUAAUCCGAGACUUAGGCCAUUUUUCCUCACAUUUUUAUUUGGUCUUGGGCUAUUUUGAGAGCACAUUUGAGGGGUAUUCUCAUCAAUAUUGUAAGGUAAGUAACUUUCACCCAUUUUCAAGUUAAUUAUGCGGAUUUUAGGUUGCUUAAACAUGGAAAAAUUAUGAAAAAUUAUGGGAUUUGUGAAGAACCUAGGGUUUUGAUAAAAAUGGGAUUUGACCACGAAAUUGAUUAUAGAAUCAAAUAAAAAUUAUAUAUUUGAGUUCGUGAGGAUAUGGGUAAUAUUUAUCUUUAAAAAUUUCUGGAAUUCGGGCACGUGGGCCCGGGGGAAAAUUUUAAGAAUCUUCCAAUUUAGGUUAGGUUAUGACUCUAGAAGCUAAAUUAUGAACUAUUGAGUAUAUAUUGAUUAAAUUAUAUAACAUUUGAAUACUUUUGGAUUGUUAUGCAUGUACUUGGGUCUUUUAGAGCGGACUAGUGGACCUAAAGUUAACUGGAGAAUAAGGUAAGUCUCUUGCCUAACCUUGUAAGAGGGAACUCAUCCCCCUUCGGUGUAUCUUUGUUGUGUAUUACUUGUGUGGGGAGCUACGUACGCACGAGGUGACGAAAAUCCGUGCAUAGCUAUAUUCCAUGAUAUGACCGGGUAGACUUAGAUUCACAUCAUGCUUUUAAUUGUACUGUUGUUUUUAUCAUGCGUAUUAAUUGUCUUGAAUAGAGCUGAAACUAGGGAUUUAAAGUUGCAAUUAUCGACUUAGCUUUCUUAUUUUGUGAAAAUUGAGGAAUACUUAUUAACUAUGAAAACUUCAUGUCUUCUCUCCUUGUAAGUACUUCCACGAGCGACGUAAACUUCUCUACUCUAAUGGAAUCGGGUCGUUCGUCUAGGCGGUAUGAUAACACCACUCUUAUGGGAUCGGGACGUUCGCCUCAACAGUAUGAUAGCACCACUCUUAUGGGAUCGGGUCAUUUGCCUCGGUAGUAUGAUAACACCACUCUUAUGGGAUCGGGCUGUUCGCCUCGGCAGUAUGAUACCACUCUUAUGGGAUCGAGUCAUUCACCUCUGUAGUAUGAUAACACCACUCUUAUGGGAUCAGGCUGUUCUCCUCGACAGUACGAUGGUAACAUUAUUCUUAUGGGAUUGGGCCAUUUGCCUUGGCAGUACUGACUACCACUAUUCUUAUGGGAUCAGAUCGUUCGCCUCGGCAACUUCGUGCUUAAUUGAGUUAGGGCCUUCACGGCUAGUUAUAAGAUGUUGGUGAUGUGUUACGGACUCAUGUUGUAUUUAUUGUAGUUGUUUUUGUUUGUCUCAUUGAUACCUAUUGUAUGCUCACCAUGUCUAUUUUAUGCACUUUUAUUAUUAUUAUUAUUGGCCUUUAGUAAGUGUCAAGUCGACCCCUCGUCAAUACUUCUUCAAGGUUAGACUAGAUAAUUACUGGGUACACGUUGUUCUCCAUACUCACGCUACACUUUUGCAUUGAUGUGCAGGUACUGAGACAGGUUCUACCAAUGGUCACGCGGGCACAUAGCCGAUCAUCUACGGAGACUUAGCGGUGAGCUGCUUGCCUUGCUACCUUCGCAGCACCGGAGUCUCCUUCCACCAUAUUUACUAUUCAUGUCUAUUACUUUCGGACAUAAUUUUUAGUAGUUUUGUAUAUUCUGUAGAUUGCACAUGUACUUGUGACGCUGGGGUUUGGGGAUUUGUGGCAUUUAUGUACUGCUAUACUCGUUAUUUCUACCAUCGCAGAGUAUGCACUUAUUAUGUUGGUAUUUUGAUUAAAAUUAUUUGUCACAGUUUCACGAACUCUAGUUUAAAGUGUUCUCUAAAAAGGAAAGACUUUCAUAUUAAAUUAUUAAAAAUGGGUCAAUCAAUUGUAAAUACACUUGUGGGAUAGCCUAACGGCGGUGUUAGGUGCAGUCUCAACCUAUUAUGGAUUUGGGUCGUGACAGCUUGGUAUCAGAGCUUUAGGUUCACAUAGGUCUCACGAGUCAUGAGCAGGCCUAGUAGAGUCUUGCGGAUCGGUGCGGAGAUGUCCGUGCUAAUCUUUGAAAGGCUAUAGGGUGUUAGGAAACUUCUCUUUCUUCAUCUCCUAUCGUGAAGUUGAUAUUAUACUAAGUGUAUUCCUAUUGAUCUCUCACAGAUGGUGAGAACGCGUGUGGAUGAUGUACCAGGUGGUCGAGGGGCUGCUCUCCCCGUUACUAGAGGCUGAGGCUGAGGCCGGGGGAGGGCUCCAGCUCCAAUUAGAGGACGAGGGGGUCGUAGGGUUGCUCCUAUUAUGCCACAUGUGGAUCUAGUGGAGGAUCCUAUUAUUGAGGAGCAGGAUGAGGCGCCUGCAACUAUGCCAGCCCCAAUAGAUUUGAUGAUUGUGCCGGGAUUCCAGGAGGUCAUGGGCCGUACGUUGCGGUUCAUGGACUCUAUGACGCUUGAUGGUUUAUUUCCAGUGGACCCUGCCACAUCUCAAGCAGGAGGGGGAUCACAUACCCCUACUGGUCAGGCUCCAAGGCACGCCGCUGUCGUUUAUCAGAACCCAAGUGCACUACCUGCAGGCAGUGUCUAGCAUGUUAUACCGGCUAUGCCAGAGGCUGUACCAGUCGCGACUGAUGAUCCGCAGAAGUUCCUGGACAAAUGGACUAGGCUUUGCCCCCUACAUUUGGGGGUGAGUGGUUAGAGGACCCCAGGAUUUCAUUGACCGGUGCAAGGAUAGGCUGCAGGACAUGGGGAUAUUGGAGUCCAAUGGGGUGGACUUCACCACUUUUCAGUUUUAGGGCAAGGCCCGUAGAUGGUGGCAGGAUUAUCUUCUUAGUAGGCUAGCGGGUUCACCUCCCUUGACUUGGAUCAGUUUACACAUAUGUUCUUGGAGAAGUAUAUACCACCUUCUGAGAGAGGGGAGCUUCGAGGUCAGUUUGAGUGACUCCGUCAGGGUCACAUGUCUGUCACUGACUAUGAGGCAAGAUUCACUGACUUGUCUCGCCAUGCAGCUAUUAUACUCCUCACAGAUGCAGAGAGGGUACGAAGGUUCAUUGCAGGUUUGCACCUUGAGAUUCAGGUACCUAUGGCCCGUGAGGCAGAGAUGGGGACUUCUUUUCCUCAGGUUGUCGAUAUAGCUCGAAUGAUCGAGCGUAUUCGCAACCACAGUAGAGAGUUUGUGCCAUGGGACAAGUGGCCCCGGCAGUUUGGAAGAUUCAGUGGCGCCCCACGUGAGGGCAGAGGUCAGUUCAUGAGGGGGCAGCACAGCAGGCCCAUGUAGUUAGCACCACCACC